UCCCCAGUACCGCAAUUGGUUAGCGCGCGGUACUUAUAAUGCCGAGGUUGUGAGUUCGAUCCUCACCUGGGGAA
rnacentral:tRNA from 1 species